UGAGAGGGUGCUUUAAUGCUAACGGAUGACUGGGCUGGGCCCUAGGAAACUACAGGGCAAGCCUGGUGACCAGAAAGAAAAAGGGAGCUGCUAUCCUCAACCUCAGCAACCUCAACUCCAGAGUGACUCAUGGAUGCACAACAACCUACCUUAUGCGACUGCUGAAGCCAUUGCGCACCAUGAAGACCAUGCAAAGCCAUCAUCGCACUUAAGCCAAAGGGAUGAGAAACACAAAAAGUCUGGGUUCCUGCUGUGUGAUAUGCAAGCAAUCGGCCCUCAAUUGGACCACUUACAUCACGUGGAUUCACAAAAAGGGAUG